AUAAACUAUACAGUCAAGAUACUGAUGAGAGAUCGUGAUUUAAU
rnacentral:guide_RNA from 1 species